AUAACUGGCUUGUGGCGGCCAAGCGUUCAUAGCGACGUCGCUUUUUGAUCCUUUAAUGUCGGCACUUCCUAUCAUUGCGAAGCAGAAUUCGCAAAGCGCUGUAUUGUUCACCCACCAAUAGGAAACGUGACCUGGGUUAAGACCGUCGUGAGACAGGUU
rnacentral:rRNA from 1 species